AACGAACGCUGGCGGCAUGCCUAAUACAUGCAAGUCGAACGAGAUCUUCGGAGCUAGUGGCGCACGGGUGCGUAACGCGUGGGAAUCUGCCCUUGGGUUCGGAAUAACUUCUGGAAACGGAAGCUAAUACCGGAUGAUGACGUAAGUCCAAAGAUUUAUCGCCCAAGGAUGAGCCCGCGUAGGAUUAGCUAGUUGGUGGGGUAAAGGCCCACCAAGGCGACGAUCCUUAGCUGGUCUGAGAGGAUGAUCAGCCACACUGGGACUGAGACACGGCCCAGACUCCUACGGGAGGCAGCAGUAGGGAAUAUUGGACAAUGGGGGAAACCCUGAUCCAGCAAUGCCGCGUGAGUGAUGAAGGCCUUAGGGUUGUAAAGCUCUUUUACCCGGGAUGAUAAUGACAGUACCGGGAGAAUAAGCUCCGGCUAACUCCGUG
rnacentral:rRNA from 1 species